rnacentral:tRNA from 1 species
GGCUUGGUGGUCUAGUAGUAUGAUUCUCGCUUCGGGUGCGAGAGGUCCCGGGUUCAAUUCCCGGCCAAGCC